UACCACUGCCCCCCACUAAUUGACUAGAUUUGGCUAAUUACCCUGGAAUAAUUUCUUUAUUCGCAUACUACAGAAAAACUAUUGAAUCUUUUUCAGUUAUUUCUUCUGAUAUGUUUAGAAAACACAUUAAAGUAAAUAAUAUCAAAAAAUGGUGUUUGUUGUUUGUUCAGUUAAUUAGUGACAGCGAGGUGAAUGUCAGCUUUGUCAAUCUGUCGAUGGUCCCGUCCCGUGGACCGUUUGAUGGCAGUGCCCAGUUUCGUCGGGGUAUUUUCAAAGCACCGUGGUGCUGCUGUUUCGAGUUGAAAUGUCAUAAAAAUUGGUGGACAAUAAGAUCAGAAGAUGGUCUUUCAUGUGGUAUAUUUUAUAUUUCGACGAAUGAAGUGGAACGAUGUGGAAUUGGCGUUUGAAAAGUUCCCCAUUUUCAAGUACUCGCCAUUUGCAAGGUAAGUCCGUUUUCAAUCUGUAACAUCGCGUAGCAUAAAGAGCAACAUUUCCCCUUUAUUUUGAUGUAUAUAUCAACAAUAUUAAAAUUGGGUAAAACGGCGUGAGAUCGCGUAAUAUGAAAGUAGUGCCGUUCAAAACGCCCCAUUUUCGCCACCCUGAGCCCGACCUGCUAGCACUAACAGCAGCGCUCAGCAGUCCGUAGAUCACUAACGGUUUCGGCUACUGUCUUACAGUCACAAUGUCAAACAGUUAAUGCAUAGCGAAUUAUCAGAAUAGUGACUUAUGAAAGCUAAAAUCGCCAUCUACUGAAAUUAAUCUUUAUGAAAAUAAUUUACACGUAAUAUUUCAUUCCGAGAAACAGUUCCUAUGCAGUAUUUACCCUCGGCUCGAUCGACAGUUCAGAUUGUGCUGAUUUCGGUUCGGUCUGUAAACAGCAUGAUAUAUAGAUAGUGUAGUUGACAGAAAAUGGAUAUAUAUAGAUAUUGCUUCGCUAAAAGUCAUAUUUAUUGUAGCUGGACGCUAACAUGUCAACAAACUGUUUUCGAAGUUGAAAUAGCGAGAUCGCGCGAAACGUCAUCGGUGACAGGUCAGGACAUGUUCCCCGCGUGAAAACUAUCCGGCAUAACACCAAACUGCCGCCGCAUAACCUGCGUUAUGAUUAUAAAUAUUUUACAAUUAUGCAAAAGAACCUGUAAUUAAAAUGGCAAAAUUAUUUCUGUUGCUAAAAUAAAGGUUUUAGAUACUAUAUUCCUCAGAUCACUGCAUCAGAAUUUGUCCCGUUGUAUUAUUGGGUAUGUUUUAACUGAAUCACCGGUAGAUCGCCAGGGAGGUGUGCACAGCUGAUUGCUAUUUCCGGCUUUGUGUACCGAGACAAAUACGCACGGUAUUGGGCUGUAUAAUCAUGUGAGGAAGUGUCAAGUCCAGUGGAGAAAGUAACUUUCUAACAGACAAUAUUGUGAACAUUGUUAUUCCUUUAUUGUAUUCAAGCUGAGACAGACAAUUGUGUGUGAUGCAUUUGAUUUUUGUGUGGACAAUGAAAUUUCUACUUAUGUCAGUCAAAACAAAUGAUUUAAAUAUUCAUAAGUUUUGACUGUGAUAUUGCUAUCUGUCAAGUUUACAUUGGUCAUGUUUAAUGAGUACAUCAAGAAUAAAAAUGUUUGAAAGGUA